UGAGGAAUAUUGGUCAAUGGUCGGAAGACUGAACCAGCCAUGCCGCGUGCAGGAAGAAGGUCCUAUGGAUUGUAAACUGCUUUUAUUGGGGAAUAAACCUCCUUACGUGUAGGGAGCUGAAGGUACUCAAUGAAUAAGCACCGGCUAACU
rnacentral:rRNA from 1 species